AGUGAACGCUGGCGGUAGGCCUAACACAUGCAAGUCGAACGGCAGCACCGUAAGAGCUUGCUCUUACGGGUGGCGAGUGGCGGAAGGGUGAGGAAUACAUCGGAAUCUACUUUUUCGUGGGGGCUAACGUAGGGAAACUUACGCUAAUACCGCAUACGACCUACGGGUGAAAGCAGGGGAUCUUCUGACCUUGCGCGAUUGAAUGAGCCGAUGUCGGAUUAGCUAGUUGGCGGGGUAGAGGCCCACCAAGGCGACGAUCCGUAGCUGGUCUGAGAGGAUGAAUCGACAGACUGGAAGUGAGACAGGGUCCCGACUCCGAGGGUAGGAAGCAGUGGGGAAUAUUGGACAAGGGGGGAAAGCCUGAUCCAGCCAUACCGCGUGGGUGAAGAAGGCCUUCUGGUUCUAAAGCCCUUUUGUUGUUAAAGAAAAGCAGCAGGUUAAUACCCCGCUGUUCUGACGGUACCCAAAGAAUAAGCACCGGCUAACUUCGUG
rnacentral:rRNA from 1 species